rnacentral:rRNA from 1 species
AUGUCGUCAUCAUCCUCCACGCCCAUGCUGCCCGGCGGCACCACCGCCCCGAUGUCCACCGCUCCGCUGGCCAUCGCCCCGAUGACCUCCGCCGGAGUCCCCAUGCUGUCGGAGCAGGUCACGACCGCGUGCUUCCCCACGCCGCCAGCCCCAGUCACUUCCGCGCCGCCACCAGCCGCCGUCUUCACGCCGGAACAGAUGACCAGCACGCUGCAGCAGCUCGUGACGGCCGUCCAAGGGCUCGACAUGAACCAGUACCAGCAGUACAUGGCAGGAGCGUACGACCUCCCGCCGGCUGCGCCGAUCGCCACGUACGGCCACCCUGCGCCGUGGCUGUUCCCGGGCGCACCCGCAUGCGGCGGGCCCUCGCUGUUGCCGUUCCAGACGGGGACCUCCAGCGGGCCACCACCAGCCGCCGCGGGCCUGUGGCAUCUGCCGCCGCCACCAUCGACGGCGCCCCUCUGGCACCUGCAGCCGUUGCCGUCCCCGGCAGUCGCUGCCCCCGUCCAGCCCGCGCUGCUGCCGCUGCAACCAUCGGCGCCGCCCCUGCACAGCUCGGGGGCACCAUCGCUGACCGGCCUCCCGAUCCAUCAAGUCCGGUUCCCGCCCUCUCCGUCGCCACUUCCAGCGUGGGCGGCUGGGUCUUCGCCAUCGCCGGUCUACACCACGGCCCCCGAACAGCCGACUCCGUUCCCGCAGUUCGGUGGGCCAUCCGGUUCCGCCGGUCCCUACCCGGAGUACUCCGACCAGGCGCCACCCGCCUCGCUGCUCCGCACCUGUGAGCCAGCUCGACACGGCGCUCUGACCCAGACACCGUCGCGGUUCGCCAAGAUCGACUUCGCCACCUAUGACGGCACGGAGGACCCCCUCAACUGGCUCAACCAGUGCGACCAGUUCUUUCGCGGGCAGCGCACCCUCGCAUCGGAGCGUACCUGGCUCGCCUCGUACCACCUCCGCGGCGCGGCACAUACCUGGUAUUACGCCCUCAAGCAGGACAAGGGCGCCAUGCCCCCUUGGGAGCGCUUCCGCGAGCUCUGCCUCCUUCGCUUUGGGCCUCCGGUACGCGGGAGCCGACUGGCGGAGCUCGGCCGCCUUCCCUUCACCUCCACGGUGCAGGACUUCGCCGACCGUUUCCAGGCCCUGGCGUGCCAUGCGUCGGGCGUGACGGCGCAGCAGCGGGCCGACCUCUUCUUCGGUGGACUUCCGGAUCACAUCCGCGUGGACGUGGAGCUUAGGGGACCCCAGGAUCUCCAGACGGCCAUGUACUACGCCCGCGCGGUGGCCAUCCAGCAGGAAUCACCGUCCCGGGCCGCUGGGUCGCUACCCUCGCCGGAUUCCGCGCAGGGUCGGCCUGCGCAGGCUUCCGCGGCACCCCUUGCCGUGACCGCGGCACGCCCGUUCCGCCGGCUCACCUCAGCCGAGCUACUCGAGCGUCGCCGCCAAGGGUUGUGCUUCGACUGCGACGAGCCCUACACGCCCGGCCACGCCUGCCCGCGACUCUUCUACCUGGAGGUUGCAGACUACAUUCCGGAGGACGCCGUCGCCGCCGACUUGGCCGCCCCAGCCAUCGAGCAGGUGUUUGACGCUGGUUGA